GUUCCUCCUUUGGGCCACUCUGUCCCUUUAGCUUGGGGGACCGUCCUCCCCUUCCCUAUCGGCCCCAGAAGAUAGCUGCCCUGUCACCUCCGCGAGAACAGGCCCUCUGCCCAUCCCCUUCCCUUGAGGUGGCUGUCUCCUCCCCGCUCAGUUCUGGAAGAUGUCCGCUCCAUCUCAUCGUCCCGAAGGAUGCUCACAUAUAUUCUGAGCUUCCUGCCUCUGUCAGAUCAGAAAGAGGCCUCCCUCGUGAGCUGGGCUUGGUACCGUGCCGCCCAGAAUGCCCUUCGGGAGCAACCAGGCCUUACCUCCCUGGACCUCAGUGGCUGCUCAGAACUGACUGAUGGGGCGCUCUUGGCCGUGAGCCGUGGCCUGCGGCACCUGCGGCGCCUGAGCCUGGGGAAGCUGCAGCGGCUGACAGACGCAGGAUGUACAGCUCUGGGUGGCCUGCAGGAGCUGCAGAGCCUCGACAUGGCCGAGUGCUGUCUGGUGAGAGGGCGGGAACUGGCCCAGGCCCUGAGCUCUGUGCACGGGGCUCCAUCCCAGCUGGCCUCCCUCAGCCUGGCCCACUGUUCUUCAUUGAAGUCACGCCCAGAGCUGGAGCAUCAGGCCUCAGGUACCAAGGACCCCUGUCCCGAGCCACAGGGCCCCUCCCUGCUCAUGCUGCGGGCCCUGCAGGAGUUGGACCUCACAGCCUGCAGCAAGCUGACCGAUGCCAGUUUAGCCAAGGUGCUCCAGUUUCCCCAGCUGAGGCAGCUGUCCCUUAGCCUGUUGCCAGAACUCACAGACAACGGCUUGGUGGUUGUGGCCAGGGGCUGUCCUAGCCUGGAGCACUUGGCGCUGAGUCACUGCAGCCGCCUCAGUGACAAGGGCUGGGCCCAGGCAGCCAGCUCCUGGCCGAGGCUGCAGUAUCUCAAUCUGUCCAGCUGCAGUCAGCUCACAGAGCAGACACUGGAUGCCAUUGGGCAGGCGUGCAGGCAGCUCCGGGUGUUGGAUGUGGCCAUGUGCCCUGGCAUCAACAUGGCCGCCGUCAGACGCUUCCAAGCCCAGCUGCCCCAGGUGUCCUGCGUCCAGUCCCGCUUCGUGGGAGGGGCUGACCUGACCCUAACACUCUGAGGCCGGACCCUCUAGGACUGGGGGUGGGGCCCAUCCAGGGCAGCCCAGAGGGAACAUCCUGCCACACCACCUGGCAGUAGCCUCUUCCAGCUACACGUCGUUGCCACAGGCCCCUGGAAAUGCUACCUACAUGUUGCUGCCACAGGCUCCUGCUCUCUGGCCAAGCCCUAGGUGGGAGGCCAGGCCCCCAGCUGGCAGGGUCUGGUGCUGGGAGGAGCAGAGCCUCUGCCUCUUGCCUGCCCUCCUCUCAGACCUAAGGCUGGGCUCCACCUACUCCUGUGGGACUCUCCCAGCACCCUGUGUGCACUGAGCUUCAGCAGCUGAGCCCAGGUCUGUGCUGUAAAUCCUAAGAUUAAACAUUCCAGAUAGU
rnacentral:sRNA from 1 species